GUGAGGAAUAUUGGACAAUGGGCGCAAGCCUGAUCCAGCCAUGCCGCGUGCAGGAAGACGCAUCUAUGGUGUGUAAACUGCUUUUGUACGGGAAGAAACACUCCCUCGUGAGGGAGCUUGACGGUACCGUAAGAAUAAGGAUCGGCUAACUCCGUGCCAGCAGCCGCGGUAAUACGGAGGAUCCAAGCGUUAUCCGGAAUCAUUGGGUUUAAAGGGUCCGUAGGCGGUUUAAUAAGUCAGUGGUGAAAGCCCAUCGCUCAACGAUGGAACGGCCAUAGAUACUGUUAGACUUGAAUUACAAGGAAGUAACUAGAAUAUGUAGUGUAGCGGUGAAAUGCUUAGAUAUUACAUGGAAUACCAAUUGCGAAGGCAGGUUACUACUUGUGGAUUGACGCUGAUGGACGAAAGCGUGGGGAGCGAACAGGAUUAGAUACCCUAGUAGUCC
rnacentral:rRNA from 1 species